rnacentral:misc_RNA from 1 species
UCUCCGUAGGUGAACCUGCGGAGGGAUCAUUACUGAGUGAGGGCUUCGGUCAGACCUCCAACCCUUUGUGAACCAAACUUGUUGCUUCGAAGGCGACCCUGCCGCUUCGGCGGUGCGGCGCCCCCGGAGGCCAUUAAACACUGCAUCAUUGCGUCGGAGUUAAAGUAAAUUAAACAACACUUUCAACAGCGUAUCUCUUGGUUCCAGCAUCGAUGAAGAACGCAGC